GCCUAGUUGGUGUAGUGGAAAGCACACUCGGACUCUGCCUCUGAGAGACCUUGGUUCGAUUCCAAGAUUAGGCA
rnacentral:tRNA from 1 species